UACGUAGGGCGCAAGCGUUGUCCGGAAUUAUUGGGCGUAAAGAGCUCGUAGGCGGCUUGUCGCGUCGAAUGUGAAAUCUCAGGGCUCAACUCUGACAUUGCAUUCGAUACGGGCAGGCUCGAGUUCGGUAGGGGAGACUGGAAUUCCUGGUGUAGCGGUGAAAUGCGCAGAUAUCAGGAGGAACACCGGUGGCGAAGGCGGGUCUCUGGGCCGAUACUGACGCUGAGGAGCGAAAGCGUGGGGAGCGAACAGG
rnacentral:rRNA from 1 species